AUGCAGUAGAACGCUGAAGAGAGGAGCUUGCUCUUCUUGGAUGAGUUGCGAACGGGUGAGUAACGCGUAGGUAACCUGCCUUGUAGCGGGGGAUAACUAUUGGAAACGAUAGCUAAUACCGCAUAACAAUGGAUGACACAUGUCAUUUAUUUGAAAGGGGCAAUUGCUCCACUACAAGAUGGACCUGCGUUGUAUUAGCUAGUAGGUGAGGUAAUGGCUCACCUAGGCGACGAUACAUAGCCGACCUGAGAGGGUGAUCGGCCACACUGGGACUGAGACACGGCCCAGACUCCUACGGGAGGCAGCAGUAGGGAAUCUUCGGCAAUGGGGGCAACCCUGACCGAGCAACGCCGCGUGAGUGAAGAAGGUUUUCGGAUCGUAAAGCUCUGUUGUAAGUCAAGAACGGGUGUGAGAGUGGAAAGUUCACACUGUGACGGUAGCUUACCAGAAAGGGACGGCUAACUACGUGCCAGCAGCCGCGGUAAUACGUAGGUCCCGAGCGUUGUCCGGAUUUAUUGGGCGUAAAGCGAGCGCAGGCGGUUUGAUAAGUCUGAAGUUAAAGGCUGUGGCUCAACCAUAGUUCGCUUUGGAAACUGUCAAACUUGAGUGCAGAAGGGGAGAGUGGAAUUCCAUGUGUAGCGGUGAAAUGCGUAGAUAUAUGGAGGAACACCGGUGGCGAAAGCGGCUCUCUGGUCUGUAACUGACGCUGAGGCUCGAAAGCGUGGGGAGCGAACAGGAUUAGAUACCCUGGUAGUCCACGCCGUAAACGAUGAGUGCUAGGUGUUGGAUCCUUUCCGGGAUUCAGUGCCGCAGCUAACGCAUUAAGCACUCCGCCUGGGGAGUACGACCGCAAGGUUGAAACUCAAAGGAAUUGACGGGGGCCCGCACAAGCGGUGGAGCAUGUGGUUUAAUUCGAAGCAACGCGAAGAACCUUACCAGGUCUUGACAUCCCGAUGCUAUUUCUAGAGAUAGAAAGUUACUUCGGUACAUCGGUGACAGGUGGUGCAUGGUUGUCGUCAGCUCGUGUCGUGAGAUGUUGGGUUAAGUCCCGCAACGAGCGCAACCCCUAUUGUUAGUUGCCAUCAUUCAGUUGGGCACUCUAGCGAGACUGCCGGUAAUAAACCGGAGGAAGGUGGGGAUGACGUCAAAUCAUCAUGCCCCUUAUGACCUGGGCUACACACGUGCUACAAUGGUUGGUACAACGAGUUGCGAGUCGGUGACGGCGAGCUAAUCUCUUAAAGCCAAUCUCAGUUCGGAUUGUAGGCUGCAACUCGCCUACAUGAAGUCGGAAUCGCUAGUAAUCGCGGAUCAGCACGCCGCGGUGAAUACGUUCCCGGGCCUUGUACACACCGCCCGUCACACCACGAGAGUUUGUAACACCCGAAGUCGGUGAGGUAACCUUUUGGAGCCAGCCGCCUAAGGUGGGACAGAUG
rnacentral:rRNA from 1 species